CCCCCCACACACCUCACGGAGCUUGCCGUGUCCUACUGCCGGCUGUAACUCUUUGCCUGAAACCCCUUGCCUGAGGCCUCGCGUCUACUUUGAGGCAGCCUGCCGAAUUCAGUGAAGAUGUGUUGACCUGAGAACUUAACCGGUUCUCUUUCCACAGACGCCGCUUGACCCGCUGGACGUAUCCGGUAUUUUCUACCUCUCGGUCAGAAUCAACGAUGGGCCGUAAUUCAACUAAUUCGGCUAAACAGCAAACGCCCGGACAUGACAGUUCUCCGGCCAUUCCAUCAGUAAAUGAGCGUUUGGCUUUUCUCCGUCCUUCCCGGGAGCUGUUGGAGUACUACCGUAAAAAGAUUGCACAAUUUGACGAGGAACAUGAAAAUCUUAUGAAAAAAUUGGAGACGUACAAGGCCACCUAUGAAGAACAGCAUAAACUCCAGUGGGAAAUUCGACAGAGGGAAGAAGAGAUUGAGGAGCUACAAAAAGCACUCAGUGACAUGCAAGUUUACCUCUUUCAGGAACGUGAGCAUGCAUUGCGACUUUAUGCUGAAAAUGAUCGGCUAAAAAUUAGAGAGUUAGAAGAUCGGAAGAAGAUUCAACAGCUCUUAACUCUGGUGGGUUCUGAAGAAGAAGCACUCACUUACUUUCACAAAGAGCCUCCACACAAGGUAAUUGUCCCCCAAUGUAUAAAGAAGCAUGGACGCACAGAAAAUAGAUCUUCAAGAAAUGAUCAUAAAAGAACAGGAUCUAAAAUAACCACUGCUGUUAGUCCGACAAUCCCAGAAAACUACCAGCGAGAUAAUCAGACCUUGCUAUUACAGGUUGAAGCCUUGCAAUCCCAGUUGCAAGAGCAGACACAGCUGGCAAAAGAGCAAAUUGAUGCAUUGCUGGAGGAUCGAAGGAUCCGCAUGGAGGAAGUACAUGUACAGCAUGAACGUGAUAAAGAAAAAAUAAGAACUCUGGCAGACAAGUUGCAAAAGACUCAGAAUCUUCUUUAUGAAAGUACCAGAGAUUACCUACAACUGAAGUUUGAAGGACGAGACGUUGAAAAGGUCUGGAUGGCUGAGAAGGAUCAUCUGCUUCAGGAGCUAGACAAAUCCACCAUGCUGAGAAACCGACACUGUGAAAAUGAGACACAAUUGCUUCAGGAAUUUCCUGUAGAACAUGAAAUACAACGGGUACAAAGUGAAGAAAUAAAGUCACUGCAGGACCAGCUAAACCAGGCACAUCGAUUAGCAGACAUGUACAGGGAGCAGUGUGUGACACUUGAAGACAAUCUGGCGCACAUUCAAGAAGAAGGAGACAUAGGGCGGCAGCUAUUUAAAGAGCGUUCUGAAAAAACAGUGAAGCGGCUUCAUUUAAUGACGCGGCGGUACGAGGCACUGGAAAAACGACGAGCUAUGGAAGUCGAAGGCUUUAAAAAUGAUAUAAAGCUACUACGGCAGAGGCUAAAAGAUGUGGAGAAGCAGCUGUUCAAGGUAACACUUGGAAUUGGUCCUGACCAGGAUCUUGCUAUUCUUCAUGAGGUGCGCCAAUCAAAUAACCACACAAAGAUUAUCCAAGGAGAGCUCAAGAAUUUAAAGGCAAAGAUUUAUGGCUUAGAAAAUCGCUUGCGAUUUGGCUGAUAUUUUCUGUGGACAACAUUUAAUCUUUAGUAAGGCUAUAUCAAAAGCACUACUAUACCAGCAAUGAUGGAAUAUCUUCAAAUUACAUUAUAAUGACCAAGCAAGGCCUGGCCAUAACUAAGCAACAUGAUGGAUUUUUUUUCUAACUAUAAGAAAGCAGAGGGACAAAAAUGGCAGUUUGCCAUUUUUUAAAAUUUAAUUUAGUAGGAUUUACUUUUUGAUUUAAAAUAGCAAAAAAGGUUUUAUUUUAAGCUAAAUGAGCAGCUUUCCAUUACUCUGUUCAGACUGACUCUGCGUGUAUGUUUCGGUUUUCUAUUGGCUUAAAUUCUGUUUUUAAAUGAUUUGGUAAGUUUCUUGAUUCCUUGAAUGAUAUCAGAAAAAUGUUGCAUGAUGUGUUGCUGAACCAUUGUGUCAAAUCCUUGCAGGUGAUUUCUGGCUGCCUUAAUUGGACAGAUAACUAAUAAUUAAUACUUGGUUGCCUGUCAUAUUUUUGCUGUUAUAGAAAUAAUUUACCAGACUGACAUUGGUAGAACAGCUGGCGUGUACUUGUAAUUCUGUUUGGGCAAUAUCCAAAGUAAUUCACUGCACCAUUAUAAGUGGAUGCUCUUCUUAUCAGCAAAUUAGUCAUCCAUUCUUGAUCCUUAAAAAAAAUUACUUGGUUAUCUCAGUUUAAAAUGGUGAUUUCAACAGUUUUAGUCUCUUCUCCAAAUGAGCCCGAUUAUAAUGGAGCCUUGUUCUUGACAGCUCUACCUGGGUUAUUACGACAUUGUGAUGGCUACAUUUCUUGUUGUAGCAAAAGCUCUUAUCAACCAAAUUUCUUCUCCAUUACAAGCCAUUCACUGCACGUAGUGAUUUGUUACCAGCACAAUAUGAUUUCCUUGUUUGGAGCUAACAAAAACAAAUAGCUUGAAAAACUUUUUGCUAACACUGAGAUAUUGCUAACAAUUUCUAUUCAAAAUAAAAAAGCAACUGAUACAUUCUCUUAAAAUUGCAAAACAUUUUUUAAACUGGUCCAUGUACUAUAAUUAUGGAUAAUGAGAUUAGCACCUCGGGUUUGGGUAUCUUGGGACCACCAUUCCACAAUGCAAGUUAUCAUUAAUACAGAUGUGAAUGGAGCUACUCUAACUUGAUUCAUAAUAAACGUAUUUUACUUCCACUAAAAAGCUAUUUUGAUCAACAUAAUUAAAUAUAAGCCUUUUUUUGCCAGUCACAUAAAAACCCGCCAGUCUCAUUGGCGAGGGCUACAUCGUUGACAAAGCCAAUGAUAUGUUGUUCCUAACUAGCCUUUCCUUAUCAAAUUUUAUCUAUCCUUUUUUCUUUACUAUUUUCCCUUGUACUCCAUUAUUUUUCCUUUCAAAAGACCAUAGGUGCUCAUCAGAAUUCCGAUUUUGCUUUCUGAGUUAUCUAAAGAUCAUUUUUAUUUCUAAUUGGUCUGAUUCCUCUGCUUAUAUCUGUUUACUUUUUACACACCUGCAGAUCGAAAGGCUUCAUGUUAACUGCUAUUACCUUACUAUGCAAUCUUUGCCUGUGGAAGAAUGGGGUUGUUGGGAAUGCUCGGAGCUGGCAUCAGCUUGGUGUGUCCAAUAGCCUUCUCUGAUAUUGUAAGGAAAUAUUAUGUAAUAAAUGACUAUCUCCUUUUUCAAUUGGAAUUCCAGUUACAUUUUCAGAUUUGAAUUGCUUUCUCUAAGACACUUGGAGGUUGAAGAUGGACCUGAUAGAAGUAUCUAAAAUUAUGAGAA